rnacentral:lncRNA from 10 species
CAGGUGCCGGAUAUCAUCUCGUGAAAUUCUAUGGCAGUACUGGCUGUGCCUGAGAAACCUCCUGCCACUCAAGCCCAGCAAGGUUCUUGGGAGAACAGUCCAGCAGAAUCAGUUAUCAAGACACAGGCAGGUUACUGAGUAGAUGGAUUGACCAGAGCUUCCUAUAAUACCAAGGAAAGUUUCACGGAGAACAUCUGGAAUUAAGUCAACUUGAGUGGAUUGAAGGAUGCAAAGUAUUUUUCCUGGGUGUGUCUGUCAGGGCGUUGCCAAAGGAGAUCAACAUUUGAGUCAGUGGCCCGGAAGAGGCAGACCCACCCUCUAUCUGGGUAGGCACCAUCUAAUCAGUUGCCAGUGUGGCUGGAAUAAAGCAGGCAGAAGAACAUGGAAGGACUUGACUUGCUGUCUUCUGGCCUUCAUCUUUCUCCUGUGGUGGAUGCUUCCUGCCCUUGAACCUUAGACUCCAGGUUCUUCAGCUUUUGGACUCUUGGACUUACACCAGUAAUUUGCCAGGGGCUGUCUCUCUAGCAUCCUUGCUCCUCAGCUUGCAGACAGCCUAUUGUGGGACUUCAAUUUGUGAUUGCAUGAGUCAAUACUUCUUAAUAAAUUCUCCUCCAUAUAUACAUCUGUCCUGUUUUUUCUGUUCCUUUAGAGAACCCUAAUUAAUACAGAUUUAUUCUCUUCCAGAUUCUUUUUAGAAAAAUUACAGAGAAUAUUGGAUU